AAAACUCUCAUACCACAUCUUUUGAUGUGGCCUUUGGACGUGGGGGCUUUUGCAGGCUUUUUUCUUGAGAGUCUGCUCCCCUGAAAUGCAUCAGUGGUAUCUGGAGCGGAAACCGCUAGGUGUGAUAACAUCAUCUAUGCCUUUGGUAUGCCGCGCAUGUGCUGCUUCCAACGCACAAUUUAUUGACAA
rnacentral:misc_RNA from 1 species